UCACCCUGAGCAGCAUUUGGAAGCCACUGUGGAAAAUAUGAGAAUCAAGAAAAAGUGGCUGAAAAAGGGAAACAGAAUUUUGCCAAUAAAUGGGUCGGCUUGUUACAGUGUCGCGGCACGUGAUGAAAAGAAGAAUGAUUAAACUGAUUGCCCAGACUUUGCACAUCCAACAUCCAGUUAAGCUCAUCUCCAAUUGAAGAAAACUCUCCUCGAAUAAGCUUGAUAGCAGUUGAGCAAUCAGACUCUACCUGAAUAUUACAGAAAUGCAAGGCAUGAGCCAGGCGCAAGCCUUCUUAAAUUGCCUUAAUUUCAGCGAGAAGGAGAGAAAGGGGAAUUGGAAUGAAAGUCGAAGAAGCUGCUAUAAUCCGCCUGCAACUGUCACGAAGGAGAAUACCCAGCCCCGUUGAUUGAAAUUGACCAUUGCAUGCGGCAUCCACAGAUACCUUAAUGAAUUCCUGAGGCGGAGGGUUCCAGCUUUGUGACAAGGGAGGAAUUUGCGAUGAAGAGGCUGAGCAUUCCUGAAAGAAGUCACAUACCUAGAGAUCCACUCACAUUUAGCUUCAAUCGUAGGGGCUUGCUUGUUUUGCAGCAAAGAGUUCCGAUCAGACCAGAGGGCCCAACAGGAAAGGGCUAGAGGGGAGUGGCAUCUUCGGGAGCAGCCUCUUCCAUAUUUUCCUUGCACAUUUACAAUGGAAUAGCACGUGAAUUGAUGUCUCCGGCAAGGUGGGGCAGCAAGAACAUAAAGAAAGUCACAAAGGACCUAGAAUGCCCGUGAGUCCUCCAACCCACGAACAUUCCAGGUGAUGGUUUUCAUGGCGUCUGGCGAGGUUUCUCCGCAACCUUCGUCGAUGAGGGAAUAUCUGUGUCAUGAUAAUCAGAGAGUGAGAUAAUUUUUGCUUCUUGGGAACAUAAUCCGUUUGGGCAGUGGAUACCCUCUUCUUGGGCACAGGAAAGAAAGACUCAACCAUGCAUGUAACCAGUGAUAAGUCUUGAAUUUUAGGAAAAAGUGUUUACAAAUUGUGCAUGUUUAGUGUCUUCUGAAAUUAAAUACGUAUGUUUCAUGCAUUGAAUCCGGUAUAAAUGGGAGUAUUUCUUAGGAAAGACUUGUACACUUGGUUUUGGAUAAAUAGAUGGAAUUAUGAGGAAAUAUAUAUGUUUUAUAGGGAAAAAGGAAGGAAAAAGCAGCACCUGCUGCAGAUGACACAGAGGCUAUCUUGGCGCAUCGCCAACACUCCAAAAACUUCAGCAAUGCGCUCGGCGCAUUCUCCACCUACAAAUAAGGGCUUUUGUUGACCGGGCAGUUGGAAGAAAUCUCAACUCAUCCCUUGAUCCGUGCAACCAAAUGCUGUUAAGCCCCAUUGUAGCUCCUCCACUCAAAUACCCAAGAUUUUCUCCACCAACUUGCAAGGUUUAGCUUAUAAAUACCAAGUUCCAUCAAAUUUGGGAGCUCAUUUGACAUUUAAAUUCCAGCUUGUUUUCUCUCUAGAAUUUACGCUUUUAUAAUUUGUUUUGUCUUCAACAUUCCUGGAAUUAUUUUUAUU